UAGGGAACCUUCCGCAAUGGACGCAAGUCUGACGGAGCAACGCCGCGUGAGUGAAGAAGGAUUUCGGUUCGUAAAACUCUGUUGUUAGAGAAGAACAGCGCAUAGAGUAACUGUUAUGCGUGUGACGGUAUCUAACCAGAAAGCCACGGCUAACUACGUGCCAGCAGCCGCGGUAAUACGUAGGUGGCAAGCGUUGUCCGGAUUUAUUGGGCGUAAAGCGAGCGCAGGCGGUCAAUUAAGUCUGAUGUGAAAGCCCCCGGCUCAACCGGGGAGGGUCAUUGGAAACUGGUUGACUUGAGUGCAGAAGAGGAGAGUGGAAUUCCAUGUGUAGCGGUGAAAUGCGUAGAUAUAUGGAGGAACACCAGUGGCGAAGGCGACUCUCUGGUCUGUAACUGACGCUGAGGCUCGAAAGCGUGGGUAGCAAACAGG
rnacentral:rRNA from 1 species